rnacentral:rRNA from 1 species
UGGGAUGGACCCGCGCCGUAUUAGUUAGUUGGUGAGAUAAAAGCCCACCAAGACGAUGAUACGUAGCCGACCUGAGAGGGUAAUCGGCCACAUUGGGACUGAGACACGGCCCAGACUCCUACGGGAGGCAGCAGUAGGGAAUCUUCCACAAUGGACGAAAGUCUGAUGGAGCAACGCCGCGUGAGUGAUGAAGGUUUUCGGAUCGUAAAACUCUGUUGUUAAAGAAGAACAAGUGUUAGAGUAACUGUUAACACUUUGACGGUAUUUAACCAGAAAGCCACGGCUAACUACGUGCCAGCAGCCGCGGUAAUACGUAGGUGGCAAGCGUUGUCCGGAUUUAUUGGGCGUAAAGCGAGCGCAGGCGG